GCCCAGCCCAGCCCGGCCUGACCCGACCCGACCCGACCCGACCCGACCCGACCCAACCCGGCCCUCCGCGCCCGCUCGCGAACUGCUCGCCUCGCGUCAGAAUGGCCCGGAGGCACCUCAGCCCGCUCCGGAGUCCUCUUUCCUGAGUGUCUUUAUGAAGUGGGAUCCAAAUUAUGGUGAAUGCUGCUGCCAAGCAUCAUCAACAGAAAGGAAGCUCAUAAAAAUAUGAUGCUGUGUCCUCAUUCCACCUCUUUCACCAGAACGGGCAACCUGUGACUUUUUUUUUUUUGGUACCUGGAAUCGAACUCACAAUGUCACACUUGCCAGGCAGGUACUUACACCGUUAAGCUAAAUCCUCAGCUCCCACCUGUGACUUCUGGCUCUUCCCCAAAGUCAAGAUGACCAUAAAGAUAAAUAUUUUAUUUUAUUUAUUUAUUUAUUUAUUUUUUAUUGGUACCAGGGAUCGAACUCACAACCAUGCACUUGCAAGGUAGGCACUUAUGCCGCUGAGCUAAAUCCCCAGCCCCAAGAUAAACAUUUUAAAUUAAGUCAGGACAUCAAGGUAGGCACGACAACCCAACUAAAGACACCGAAGAAAAAGAACUCCAGAGCUGCUGCAGAAAGCAAGGCAUGGUGGACACAACUGUAAUCUAAGCACUCAGGAACCUGAGGCAGGAGGAUCAUCACAAGGUCUAGGCCAGGCUAGACUACACAGUGAGACCCUGUCACAAAAGAAAAGAGAAAGAGGAAAAAGAAAAAGAAAUAAUAUCAGAAAAGCAUUUAGCAUAUAGUAAAUUACUCACACUUUAUUUUGUUAAAUGGUCCAUUUUAAAGAGUGAUCCUAUUGGCCCACUUCCUCCUCCUGCCUAGGCUUCACUUUGACACUACAGCAGUUCCACAGCAGCUCUCUAACUUGUGGAUGCUUGGAGCCUCCCUUCUGUGCCUCCUCCUCCUUCCUCGAGUACUGGGACUUCACUUCCUAAUUUGCGGUGCCCAUCCCCACCUCUCUUGUCCUUGGUUAGAUUCCUAUUUUUGAGGAUGACCAGAUGGCCAAAGUUAUAAACUUGUCGUUUUUAAGUAACUGUC